UACGUAGGGUGCAAGCGUUGUCCGGAAUUAUUGGGCGUAAAGAGCUCGUAGGCGGUCUGUUGCGUCCGCUGUGAAAACUCGGGGCUUAACCCCGAGCCUGCAGUGGAUACGGGCAGACUAGAGGUAGGUAGGGGAGAAUGGAAUUCCCGGUGUAGCGGUGAAAUGCGCAGAUAUCAAGAGGAACACCUGAGGCGAAGGCGGGUUGCUAGGCUGACACUGACGCUGAGGCGCGAAAGCCAGGGAGCAAACGGG
rnacentral:rRNA from 1 species